AAAAGAUAUGUCCACAGCCUAAUCCGCAGAACCUGUAAGUGUGACCUUAUUUGGAAGAAAGAUCUUUGCAGAAGUAAUUAAAUUAAGAAUAUCAAGAUGAGAUUGUCCUGGAUUAUCUAGAUGGACCUUAAAUCCAGUGAUAAGUGUCCUUAUAAGAGGCACACAGAAGACAGAACUACAGACAGAAGAGGAGAAGUGAAGACAGAGGCAGAGAUUAGAGUUAUGUGGCUGCAAGUCAAGGGUCAUCUGGAUCCACAAGAAGGUGGAAGAAGAAAGAAAGUAUUCUCCUUGAAAUCUUUGGAGGGAGGGUGCUCUUUGAUGUAACGCCAAAUGGAUCUACAAAGGAUGUGGAGCAGUAUGUGUGAUCCUUUUAUUCAUUGAAAAGGAAAGGGCAGCACGAG
rnacentral:lncRNA from 1 species